CUGGUGCUGCGCAUCUGUGGUGCUGUUUGCUGUUAGAGAGCACACACAGUGACAGCUCGAGACCAGGAGAUGGAUUUGGAGGAGCACGGGGACCCACGACUCUUCCCUCUGCUGGCCAGCACAGGAUUCACAGAAUUCUUUAAGCAGGAAGUCCCACCCUCUGGUGAAGGUCCCGCCCAGGUGGAAGGACCUGGAAAAGGGAAACUGCUCUUUGCCACUCACCUUCACUCCUUCUGGCAAGAUCAUCUAUCCUGUUGCUGUGAUGUUCCUUCGUAGAGACUAGAACCAGCGUCCUUGAGAAUUCCAGCAUAGACUGAAGAUCAGCAGCACGUCACAAACCCUCCAGAGCUUCUGUGCCCCAUUGGGACUGCUGAGCCAUCCAGCCUCUACCAGAUUCUCAAACUCUCCUGGGUGAAACAUCCACCGUUGGAUUACUACGUAUCUUGUAAACCAGGCUAAUAAAUCAUCUUUUCAAAGGCA